CGGGAUAAAGUCCCGUGUGAAAAGGAAUGUAGCCCUCUUUGGGCCGAACCUUAGG
ncrna:unclassified sequences eL15-Euryarchaeota ribosomal protein leader